UGUGAUGAUUCAUAAUAACUGAUCGAAUCGCAUGGGCUUUGCUCGCGAUACAUCAUUCAAGUUUCUGCCCCAUCAGCUUUCGAUGGUAGUGUAUUGGACUACCAUGGCUUUCACGGGUAACGGAGGAUUAGGGUUCGAUUCCGGAGAGGGAGCCUGAGAAACGGCUACCACAUCUAAGGAAGGCAGCAGGCGCGUAAAUUACCCAAUCCUGACUCAGGGAGGUAGUGACAAGAAAUAACGGACCGAAGCCUAUGUUUCGGGAUUGCAAUGAGUAGAAUUUAAACCCCUUUACGAGGAUCAAUUGGAGGGCAAGUCUGGUGCCAGCAGCCGCGGUAAUUCCAGCUCCAAUAGCGUAUAUUAAAGUUGUUGCAGUUAAAAAGCUCGUAGUUGGAUUUCUGGAAGAGUGACAAUGUCGUCUUGUUGACUGUGCAGCGUCGCUCUUCCAUCCUUCUGUUAACGUUUCGGGUAUUCAUUUACUCGUCUCGGGCUCAGAUAUUUUACCUUGAGAAAAUUAGAGUGUUCCAGGCAGGCUCGCGCCGGAAUACAUUAGCAUGGAAUAAUAGAAUAGGACUUUAGUCUCCUUUGUUGGUUUGAGGGACUGAAGUAAUGAUUAAUAGGGAUAGUUGGGGGCAUUAGUAUUUAAUUGUCAGAGGUGAAAUUCUCGGAUUUGUUAAAGACUAACUUAUGCGAAAGCAUUUGCCAAGGAUGUUUUCAUUAAUCAAGAACGAAAGUUAGGGGAUCAAAGACGAUCAGAUACCGUCCUAGUCUUAACCAUAAACUAUGCCGACUAGGGAUCGGAGGCGCGCUUUAUCCGCCUUCGGCACCUUAUGAGAAAUCAAAGUCUUUGGGUUCUGGGGGGAGUAUGGUCGCAAGGCUGAAACUUAAAGGAAUUGACGGAAGGGCACCACCAGGAGUGGAGCUUGCGGCUCAAUUUGACUCAACACGGGAAAACUUACCAGGU
rnacentral:rRNA from 1 species